AUUUUUGUCUUUGUCUCUGUGUACCCGGCUCUCCUGGAACUUGUACUGUAGACCAGUCUGGCCUCAAACUCGCAGAAAUUGACCUGCCUCUGCCUCCCAAGUACUAUAAUUAAAGGCAUAUGCCACCUCUGUCUGGCUUAUGUUUUUGGAAUUUAAGGACAAUUUAAUCAUGUAUUUUUCCUGGGGUUAAAUUGCCUUGUGAGUCAGUUAUGGAGCUGGCUGUUAAAGUAGUACCUGAAGUCUCCCCACAGACUAGGUCACUUGCUGCCAUAGUAGAAGAUGCAACUUUUAAGCUUGAUAGGGUACCAGUAUUUAGAAUUGGUAACACGUCUCAGACAGCUGCCUGUCCUUAUUGUUCAUGAAUUCUUUCCUUCAUUUCUCUUUUCAGUUCAGUCAGGUUGUUUUCACACUCUAUCCAACCUCUGUUGAGAUCACCAGUGGCUUUGUUAAUAAGUCUAAAGUCGGCAUUCAGGCUUUAUCUGAGUUUGGAUACAUUGCUUCAAGUCAGCCAAAGUACAUGGGUCCUUCUGCUCAGGUUUGCCCGCACCUCAGUGAUUUACAUCCUUACUCUUCUGCUUGACCUGUAUUCAUUCCCUUAGUGGUCUUCACCCAGAAUGAAGCUGAGUGUUAUCCCCAUGUCUCUAUUGGGGAAUUUCUAGUUCCAAUUCUCUGUCUCCUAAAUUGGAAUUGACAGAUUCAGUAGCAGCUUCUUCAUUUCAAUAUUUUAAUACUAUUGUAAGCCUAGCCUGUCCAAAACUAAACCUAACUCCCUUGACAUGGUAUUUGCAGGUUUUGUUACAGUAACCCCCUUCUCUUAGGUCAAACACUAAGGAUCACCCUUGACUCAAUUCUUUCGUGUUUAUCUCUAAUUCUCCCAUAGACUUUAUUAGCUUUACCUUGAGUGUAUUCAAAGUGUAUUACUGUACUUCUCAUUCAUCUAGCGUGAUCAGAGGCCCUAUUAUUUGUUAAUUAAACUACUUUCUUGACUUGUCCCCUACUCACAUACUUGCUGCCAUAUUUUAUUAUCAGUAGAGUAAUUCUUUACAAGUCAAAUCAUAUCUUUGCUCACUGUACUCCAGUGACAACCUUUGACUAACAAUGAAGGCCCAAGUCUGUAUAAUGCCCUAAACCUUAUAAAGGUGUGCCUAUACCUAAUGGACUUCACCCUGCAACCCUCCAUUCACUGUUCUAGCCACACUGCACACUGCUGUCUCAUAAGCACUUUGCCAUAGCACUUGCUAUUGCUUGGAAUGCUCUUAUCCAGAAAUGCAUGACUUGAUUCUGUCAUCAUUCUACAUAAAAGUGUAAGCCAUACCCAACACGCUCAGCUUCUGCUGCAUGCUCUACUGUUUUAUCCAAAGUGCUUAUGACCCCACAACAAGCAUCAUUUAUGGUUACUUUUUGUUAUGUAUUGGUUUUCUCUCUCUCACACACACACACUAAAAUUUAAAUCCUAUUAAAGAAUCAGUGUCUAUCUUGUUGACUGAAAUAUUCUGAGCCCCUAAAAUGCUGUCUGCUAUGUGGAAAUAAUUAGCUAAAUAUUUGUUGAGUGAAUAAAUCAGUGGUAAGAUUUGAGAUCAUUCUUUAGUUGAACAGUCAGUCUAAUAUCAAUUUCAUUGCUGUUGUUUUUAUAUAUUAUUUUAGUACUAGGAUUUUUUACAAAACUCAUGAUAAAAAUUCACAAUGAAAUAUAAAAUAGUUUAGAGAAAAUCUAUCCUGUAUGUAAAUGAAGUUGAAGGUGUACCAACACAACAGCCUUCAGUCUUAGGGCAUAAGUAAGUUCUGAAGACUAUAACAAAACAGAAAAGUUAACUGUGCUACAGAGAUGAGGAAAGAGAUAGACUGUGGAACGUACGACCCGAGCUGUUUGGAUCGUGAGUGAUUAUUGGGUUGAAAUGAAAGCUACAUUUGAGCUAUUAAUAGCUACAAGGUGAAGGUAUUUGAGCCCUUUUAAGGUAAAGUUAUAAAGAUGAGUUUUGCUUUGGAUAUGUUAUGCUUAUAAUGGCUUAUAUCAACAUGCUUAAGACCCUGGGUUCUGUC
rnacentral:lncRNA from 1 species